rnacentral:rRNA from 1 species
GGAACGAACGCUGGCGGCAUGCCUAAUACAUGCAAGUCGAACGAACUCUUCGGAGUUAGUGGCGCACGGGUGCGUAACGCGUGGGAAUCUGCCCCUUGGUUCGGAAUAACAGUUGGAAACGACUGCUAAUACCGGAUGAUGACGAAAGUCCAAAGAUUUAUCGCCAAGGGAUGAGCCCGCGUAGGAUUAGCUAGUUGGUGAGGUAAAGGCUCACCAAGGCAACGAUCCUUAGCUGGUCUGAGAGGAUGAUCAGCCACACUGGGACUGAGACACGGCCCAGACUCCGUACGGGAGGCAGCAGUA